rnacentral:misc_RNA from 1 species
GUUAGCCUAGGUAUGCGGAAAAAUAUAUGGUGGAAACCACAUAUGUAGUGGAAACCCGGAAACUACUGUUGGAUUGAAAAAUAGACGUCUGAGAUUUGUCCAUGUCAUCACGAGUAAAAAUUUUACUCGCAGAUUUACUCAUGAGUAGAAAUUUUAUUUGGUGUCAUGGACGAAUCUCGUACAUCUAUUUUUCGAUCCAACGGCAGUUUCCAGAUUUCCACUACAUAUGUGGUUUGCACUACAUACUUUCCCUAGGUAUG